rnacentral:rRNA from 1 species
AGUGAACGCUGGCGGUAGGCCUAACACAUGCAAGUCGAACGGCAGCACAGUAAGAGCUUGCUCUUACGGGUGGCGAGUGGCGGACGGGUGAGGAAUACAUCGGAAUCUACUUUUUCGUGGGGGAUAACGUAGGGAAACUUACGCUAAUACCGCAUACGACCUACGGGUGAAAGCAGGGGAUCUUCGGACCUUGCGCGAUUGAAUGAGCCGAUGUCGGAUUAGCUAGUUGGCGGGGUAAAGGCCCACCAAGGCGACGAUCCGUAGCUGGUCUGAGAGGAUGAUCAGCCACACUGGAACUGAGACACGGUCCAGACUCCUACGGGAGGCAGCAGUGGUGAAUAUUGGACAAUGGGCGCAAGCCUUAUCCAGUCGUACCGCGUGGGUGAAGAAGGCCUUCGGGUUGUAAAGCCCUUUUGUUGGGAAAGAAAAGCAGCAGGUUGAUACCCCGCUGUUCUGACGGUACCCAAAGAAUAAGCACCGGCUAACUUCGUG